UACAUGCAGCAACUUACAAGCUUUUCACAGAGUCUAAACACUAAAUACAUUCUUAUAACACUAAUACCUAUAUUGAGCAAAACCAACAUACAGAUGACCUGGUCUGGUCUUGAGCUAUGAGUUUGUCAGUUCUUAGCUAAUGUGUGCAGCCUGGGCAAGAGCUGGCACCUGGCCUGCAAGGGUCACACAUAGG